UGGGGAAUAUUGCACAAUGGGCGCAAGCCUGAUGCAGCCAUGCCGCGUGUGUGAAGAAGGCCUUCGGGUUGUAAAGCACUUUCAGCGGGGAGGAAGGCGGUGAGGUCAAUAACAUCACCGAUUGACGUUACCCGAAGAAGAAGCAUCGGCUAACUCCGUGCCAGCAGCCGCGGUAAUACGGAGGGUGCAAGCGUUAAUCGGAAUUACUGGGCGUAAAGCGCACGCAGGCGGUCUGUCAAGUCGGAUGUGAAAUCCCCGGGCUCAACCUGGGAGCUGCUUUCGAAACUGGCAGGCUAGAGUCUUGUAGAGGGGGGUAGAAUUCCAGGUGUAGCGGUGAAAUGCGUAGAGAUCUGGAGGAAUACCGGUAGCGAAGGCGGCCCCCUGGACAAAGACUGACGCUCAGGUGCGAAAGCGUGGGGAGCAAACAAG
rnacentral:rRNA from 1 species